rnacentral:rRNA from 1 species
AGAGUUUGAUCCUGGCUCAGGACGAACGCUGGCGGCGUGCUUAACACAUGCAAGUCGAACGGAAAGGCCCUUUCGGGGGUACUCGAGUGGCGAACGGGUGAGUAACACGUGGGUGAUCUGCCCUGCACUUUGGGAUAAGCCUGGGAAACUGGGUCUAAUACCGAAUACACCCUGCUGGUCGCAUGGCCUGGUGGGGGAAAGCUUUUGCGGUGUGGGAUGGGCCCGCGGCCUAUCAGCUUGUUGGUGGGGUGAUGGCCUACCAAGGCGACGACGGGUAGCCGGCCUGAGAGGGUGUCCGGCCACACUGGGACUGAGAUACGGCCCAGACUCCUACGGGAGGCAGCAGUGGGGAAUAUUGCACAAUGGGCGCAAGCCUGAUGCAGCGACGCCGCGUGGGGGAUGACGGCCUUCGGGUUGUAAACCUCUUUCACCAUCGGCGAAGCCCAUAGCUUUUGUUGUGGGUGACGGUAGGUGGAGAAGAAGCACCGGCCAACUACGUGCCAGCAGCCGCGGUAAUACGUAGGGUGCGAGCGUUGUCCGGAAUUACUGGGCGUAAAGAGCUCGUAGGUGGUUUGUCGCGUUGUCCGUGAAAUUCCCUGGCUUAACUGGGGGCGUGCGGGCGAUACGGGCAGACUAGAGUACUGCAGGGGAGACUGGAAUUCCUGGUGUAGCGGUGGAAUGCGCAGAUAUCAGGAGGAACACCGGUGGCGAAGGCGGGUCUCUGGGCAGUAACUGACGCUGAGGAGCGAAAGCGUGGGGAGCGAACAGGAUUAGAUACCCUGGUAGUCG